rnacentral:rRNA from 1 species
CUACGGGGGGCUGCAGUGGGGAAUAUUGCACAAUGGACGAAAGUCUGAUGCAGCAACGCCGCGUGGAGGAUGACACAUUUCGGUGCGUAAACUCCUUUUAUAUAGGAAGAUAAUGACGGUACUAUAUGAAUAAGCGCCGGCUAACUCCGUGCCAGCAGCCGCGGUAAUACGGAGGGCGCAAGCGUUACUCGGAAUCACUGGGCGUAAAGAGCGUGUAGGCGGAUAGAUAAGUCAGGAGUGAAAUCCUAUGGCUCAACCAUAGAACUGCUCUUGAAACUGUCUAUCUAGAAUAUGGGAGAGGUAGAUGGAAUUUCUGGUGUAGGGGUAAAAUCCGUAGAGAUCAGAAGGAAUACCGAUUGCGAAGGCGAUCUACUGGAACAUUAUUGACGCUGAGACGCGAAAGCGUGGGGAGCAAACAGGAUUAGAUACCCGAGUAGUC